AACGCGAAGAACCUUACCUGGCCUUGACAUCUACGGAAUUCUUCAGAGAUGAGGAAGUGCCUUCGGGAACCGUAAGACAGGUGCUGCAUGGCUGUCGUCAGCUCGUGUCGUGAGAUGUUGGGUUAAGUCCCGCAACGAGCGCAACCCUUGUCCUUAGUUGCCAUCAUUCAGUUGGGAACUCUAAGGAGACCGCCGGUGACAAACCGGAGGAAGGUGGGGAUGACGUCAAGUCAUCAUGGCCUUUAUGGCCAGGGCUACACACGUGCUACAAUGGCAGGUACAGAGGGAAGCCAACGCGCGAGCGGGAGCCAAUCCCAGAAAGCCUGUCGUAGUCCGGAUCGGAGUCUGCAACUCGACUCCGUGAAGUCGGAAUCGCUAGUAAUCGCAGAUCAGCAUUGCUGCGGUGAAUACGUUCCCGGGCCUUGUA
rnacentral:rRNA from 1 species